CAUUUUUUGAUGGACCAUCACACAGUAGAUUUAUAGAAAUGAGACUACGGAACAUCAGACAGAAGCAUCAACAGAGCCAGCAGAUGUACAGUUUGAAAUAUCAUCAGUGUACACAGCAACAUUCUUUGACAAGUCCAGAUGAAACUGUGCCAAGUGAGUGGUUGACCCUGAUAAAGAGGAUGCGACCAUCACCAGAGAAUUCAUCAUUCAAUAAAGACUGCAGUUGACCAAACCUUCAGUUACCAAAAGAGAUGGAUAACGACAAAAUCCCCAACUGUUGCUGAAAUCUUCAAGGAAUAUCCCGGAUUUCUUAACAUGCCAGCCUUGCAUUGAAGAUGGACAUAGAAUUUUCCAAGCUCACAGAUGGAAAAGAAAAUUUGUUCAUCCGGAAAUGGGAAGGGACCAUAAUUCCAAAGCUCAAGGAAGUAGCAUCCUUGGAGAAGAAAAAUGACAUCAAACACUUGCUGGAGAAAGCUAACAAUCAGCAUGAUGAUGAACUGUGUUAAACUAUGUUGAAGAUCCUCAUUCAUCUUCUUCCACCCACGGCAUCUGGGAGAAGUGUUGCUGGCAGUAAAUGCUGUGUGAACUCUGCAGUCUCAUACCUGUUAGAGCAAGUGCCGGCUGGUACCAACAUGACCUCCUUGCUCAGUGAAUCCAUGAAAGGCUCCCUCUAGGACAUGGAGCCCAGUAUGUAAUUGUGGCAAAGAAUGAUUCUUUUGGCCUUCCACUUGAUGUUGGAAGUCUGACCUGUUCUGUAGACAUCUGGCUGUGCAAUCUUCA